UACGGAAGGGGCGAGCGUUGUUCGGAAUCAUUGGGCGUAAAGGGCGCGUAGGUGGUCUUGUAUGUCUAUCGUGAAAGCGUACGGCUCAACUGUAUUUUGUCGGUAGAAACUGCAGGACUUGAGGCUGGGAGGGGCUGGUGGAAUUCCCUGUGUAGCGGUGAAAUGCGUAGAGAUGGGGGAGAACACUCGUGGCGAAGGCGGCCAGCUAGACCAGUUCUGACACUGAGGCGCGACAGCGUGGGGAGCAAACAGG
rnacentral:rRNA from 1 species